GUCUUUUUGGUUAAUAAUUUAAAGUCUAAUCUGCCCACUGAUAAUAUAUUAAAGGGCUGCAGUAUUUUGACUGUACAAAGGUAGCAUAAUCAUUAGUCUCUUAAUUGGUGACUUGUAUGAAAGAUUUGAUGAAAUAUAUACUGUCUCUAAUUAAUUUAUAAAAUUUAAUUUUUUAGUUAAAAAGCUAAAAUAAAUUUAAAAGACGAGAAGACCCUAUAGAGUUUAAUAUUUAUAUAAAUUGAGAUUUUAUAUAAGAAUUAUAAUUUUAAUAAUAUAUAAAUAUUUUGUUGGGGUGAUAAAAAAAUUAAAAUAACUUUUUUUAUAUUUUUACAUUUAUAAAUGAAUAAAUGAUCCAUAAUUUAUGAUUAUAAGAAAAAAUUACCUUAGGGAUAACAGCGUAAUUUUUUUUUUUAGUUCAAAUAAGAAAAAGAGUUUGCGACCUCGAUGUUGGAUUAAGAUAAAAUUUAAAUGCAAAAGUUUAAAAUUUUUGAUCUGUUCGAUCAUUAAAAUCUUACA
rnacentral:rRNA from 1 species